rnacentral:rRNA from 1 species
UGGGGAAUUUUGGACAAUGGGCGCAAGCCUGAUCCAGCCAUGCCGCGUGCGGGAAGAAGGCCUUCGGGUUGUAAACCGCUUUUGUCAGGGAAGAAAUCCUUUGAGCUAAUACCUCGGGGGGAUGACGGUACCGACAGAAUAAGCACCGGCUAACUCUGUGCCAGCAGCCGCGGUAAUACAGAGGGUGCAAGCGUUAAUCGGAAUUACUGGGCGUAAAGCGUGCGCAGGCGGUUAUGUAAGACAGAUGUGAAAUCCCCGGGCUCAACCUGGGAACUGCGUUUGUGACUGCAUAGCUAGAGUACGGCAGAGGGAGGUGGAAUUCCGCGUGUAGCAGUGAAAUGCGUAGAUAUGCGGAGGAACACCGAUGGCGAAGGCAAUCCCCUGGACCUGUACUGACGCUCAUGCACGAAAGCGUGGGGAGCAAACA